GCAUUGGUGGUUCAGUGGUAGAGUUCUUGCCUUCCAUGCAGGAAACCUGGGUUCAGUUCCCAGCCAAAGUA
rnacentral:tRNA from 1 species